UUUACUGUUCAGAAUUUUAUAGCUUCAAAAUAGAAUAAUAAUGCUCUAAUUACAUAUUCUUAUGAAUCCUUUAGGUGGUGGUCACCUCAUUCCUGAGAUGUGAUCUCAUUUGAUGUUGACUCUACUUCUGUCUUCUGCAGUUGUUACCAGUGAGAAGAACAGUGGACUGAGCCUGGAAGAGGAACUUGCAGCCCAUGGAGUCUACACAGAGAAAAGACUCAAGGAAGUCAAGACCACUAUUAUUGCUCACUGUGUUUGCAUUUAAAUCGAUGAAAGUAGAAUCACUUGUCACUCCAGGGAAAAAAAAUGAAUAUAUGAGUUUUGUGGGAGCUUCUGGAAUCACAAGUUAUGGCUGGUAGAGAGGCCUCCAAGGGCAGGCGUGUGGGCAGCCUCCAGGAGCCAAGAGGGCUCCCCAGCUGGACCCAGCCAGGAAGUGGAGCACUUAGUCCUCCAGGUGCUAGAACUGAGUCCUCCAGGUAAGGAUACCUGACUUCAGCCUUGGGAGCCCGAAGCAGAGAUUUCUGACCUACAGACCUGCAAGCAAGUCAGAGUCACCAAGUUCGUGGUCAUUUGUUACACAGCAGUAGAAAACAAAUAAUAGUUUCCAGUAACAUUUGCAGUUAAGAAAAUAAACAAUUAUAGUAGGAAUUACCAGAGAAGCGAGAUUAUGGGUUUUUCCCCUCGAUAAUAUCUUUAAUUAAAUAAAAGGCCUUAAUAAAUGCAAUCUAACACAAAACCUGAAGGAGGAUAACUUACUGAGCUACUGUAAGGAGAAUUAGCACAUCCACCAGAGUUGGAUGUAAACUUACUGUAUCUCAAGGGAGCCACGUUUUCUCAUGGAUUUCCGUUUACACCUUCAUUUAUUCACUACUGCCGAAUCCUAGCAGAAAUGUUACGUAACAUUAUAAAUUAGCAAUACGUUUUCAGGAAAAAAAAAGUUUGAAAAGCCUUGGCAAGGGUGUGGCUGAAGGCACUUUGGAUCACGGACUGGACGCGGAGACCCCGGGGUGGGAGGCCGCGGCUGUCGGACCCCGUGUGUGCUCAGUGAUACCGGUAACUCCAACGAACGCACGUGCUGAAAGAGUGCAGAGGCUUUUCUUCUGUGCAGUGCGCUUCCUCCCUAAGCAACGAAAUUCCUACUCCUGUGCCCCUGUCUUCUUCACGUUCAAACACGACACCUCCUACAGUUCAGUUUCCUUCCCGCCCUCCCGCGGGCACGCGUGGCAUCUGCGACAGUGCGGGCGUUUGUGUCCCUUCAGAAUGAGGACGGGGAACUCUCAUCCCCAGCGUGCAGGUGGAUUUGGGCGUGACUAGGUCAUGGAGCCUCCUGAGUGGAAUCAGUGCGCUAAUAAAACAGGCCUUUGAGUGCUUUUUGACCGUCCAUCAGGUGAGGGUUCGGUGAGGAAAAAAUCGGGCACUCAGGGGCCACGAAUUUGUUGGUGGUUUCACCUUGGAGUUCCCAGCCUCCAGGGCAGUGAGAAAUAAAUUUCGGUGUGUAUAGGCUGCCUGGUUUAUGGUGUUUUUUGUUAUAGUGGCCCAGAAGAACGGAGACAGUAGCUUACAGGGCCAAAGCAUACAAUUUGUAUUUAAUGAUACUGACCCACUCUUUUGAAAAUGGUUUCCAUAAGGCUGAGUAUUCAUUUUUUUCCCCUCAAGCUGUCUGUUUCCUGUUGCUUUGCAUCCAUAAAUUCAAAUUCUUCAGGUGGGCAGUUCUGAGCUCUUCCCUGUUCACGGAGAGAUGGGGAGCUUUUGGAUGACAAAACCUCUUACAUUUUACUUUAUCAUCAUGCCCGGCGCAAAACCUGGCACAUUCACAUGGCCAAAAAGCAUAAUAAAUGCCCCCCCCCAAAUGAGCAACUGUACUGGGAUAAUAUUCUCAGCAACUAUUGGGCAAUUCGAGUGUAAGUAAUUUUAUUUAAUCUUUGGAAAUUCUAGCUGCAAGAUAGUUGGAAAGAAUACUUCAGUUUCUGAUGAUGAAAAGAACAAGGACAGAAAGAAAGAACUGAAGAGUGUAGUGAAAUUGUAUCUAACGGAUUUCAUUGUCUUAUCCAUGCAUCCAUCCAUCCAUCCAUCCAUCCAUCCAUCCCAGGGCUGGGAUGGUUGGCUUCUUUCUACUGAGUAGAGAUUUAAAAUUAUCGAUGUAAAGCCCCUAGGAGAUGUGAUUUUCCAAAUAAGGACACAUUCAUGAGCACAUGCUACCUCUCCCCGCUCGGCAUCAGGGUCACGGAGACCAUUAGGGUGCAUUGAAUGCAGGGACAGCGAAUCCUCGUGCUACCUUAGAACUCCAAGUGGCUGCAAGCACAAAGUUUCCCCUUAGCUAAGGACAUCUUGACCCAGUGCUAAAUCUGUAUCCAUUUCUUUCUCCAACUCUGAGCUCCAAAGCUCAAUUUAGCACCCCCCAAAUAAAACAACAACAAAAAAACCUGAGUCGUGUUCCUUUCCUUUUGUGCCUCAUUACCAACAAGGAAGAGU